AACGAACGCUGGCGGCGUGCCUAACACAUGCAAGUCGUGCGAGAAAGUUCCUUCGGGAGCGAGUAAAGCGGCGCACGGGUGAGUAACACGUAGGUAACCUGCCCCCAGUCUGGAACAACUAGAGGAAACUCUAGCUAAUGCCGGAUGGGACCACGAUCCCUUCGGGGGUUGCGGGCCAAAGAUGGCCUCUACUUGUAAGCUAUCGCUGAGGGAUGGGCCUGCGGGCCAUUAGCUUGUUAGGUGAGGUAACGGCUCACCAAGGCUGUGAUGGCUAGCUGGUCUGAGAGGAUGACCAGCCACGCUGGGACUGAGACACGGCCCAGACUCCUACGGGAGUCAGCAGUGGGGAAUAUUGCGCAAUGGGCGAAAGCCUGACGCAGCGACGCCGCGUGGGUGAUGAAGG
rnacentral:rRNA from 1 species